rnacentral:lncRNA from 1 species
ACUUCUGGCUGGGUGUACCGACUGCAUUUUCCUGAUAACUUAAGCUGCUGGCUGGUGAGACAAUCAAAUUCUCCCCACUGAGUGACUUCAUCUACAAGACACAGGAGUAACCACCAGCGAGAGAAGUUCAGUUGUGAAAGGGAAGCAAAGGAAGAUGCUGGGUCCUUAGCGAGGGUGCACAGCCCCUUCCUCCAUUGUUAGCUCUCCAUUCCGUUUUGCCUGAUGCAAGGCACACUUUGUUCCAUAUAUUUAGAUUCCAUAGUUUUCUGAUAAUGGGGACUGAGUAUUUUAAAUACACUUCAGGGGUGGGCGGGGUGGCUCAUGCGUGUAAUCCCGGCACUUUGGGAGGCCAAGGUGGGCGAUUACCUGAGGUCAGGAGUUCGAGACCAGCUUGGCCAACAUGGUGAAACUCUGUCUCUACUAAAAAUACAAAAAUUGGCUGGAUGUGGUGGCUCACACCUGUAGUCCCACCUCCUCGGGAGGCUGAGGCAGGAGAAUUGCUUGAACCCAGGAGGCGGAGGCUGCAGUGAGCCGAGAUCGUGCCACUGCACUCCAGCCAGGGUGACAGAGUGAGACACUGUCUCAAUAAAUACAUAUUUAAAAAUUAAUAAAAAUAAAAAUGAACACACUUUUUAGGUGACUUCUGCAUAUUUAAGUUUCAAACUACUUUUAGAGCAAGCCCAGGAGAGUUUCCUGUUCUUUUGAACAUGAAGAAAGAACCAAGGGCUACAGAAAGCCUCCUUACAGAACCCGAGUCUCAUUAGCUUGUUCUCAUUCAACAAACGCUUAUCCAUCCCUCGUUGCAUGCAAGGCGCUCUGCCCAGCCAAGUAUGUGACUGCAGGCUGACGGGUGGUGAUCGGGAAAGCUGCCCGAAUGAGUAAGAUUCUGACGCUUGUUUGGAGUAGUUUAUCCUCUGUCUACCACCUCCAGAUCACCACAUCUCCAUGACUGGACCCAAAUGAAGUUAUUUCAUAUUUCCAAAAAUAGUUUCAGUUAUUAACACCUUCAGGAGAAUUCAGGGGCUCAUGGUAGAAAUGAAUGAAUCAUGUACAUAACUGAGAAGUAUUUAUACAGAAAGAGUUUUGGUUUUCUGGAAAGGGUAAUUUCAGAUAUUUAGAAGUAAGAGCCAUUACAAUGUUGGUUUUACAAGCCACUGGGCUUUAUAGCAACAUCAGAGUCCUGGUGGGUCAGGAGAAAAGGAGACAGCACUCGUCAGUAGCAGACAAGAGCAACUUAGCAUUCCAUAUAAUCUUGGAGAGAGCUGGUCUAAGUGCCUCAGAUCUAUAGCCAGUUGCCUUGGAAUCUCUGCUGAGUACUUCAUCAAGCACCUGCUGUUUGAAGAGGGAAUAAGCCAGAAUAAAAUUCUCGCUCUUCAGACUUUGCAUUAGGACAGACCAACUGAUUCCACUUGACCUGUGACUCAUACCAAGGAACUUGCUCAACCAGUCCUGUUGACCCCUCACCCAGAAACUGACUCAGUGCAUGAAGACAGUUUCAAUACUCCUAUGAUUUUUAUCCCCAACCAAUCAGCAGCACCUAUUCCCUAGCCCCCUGCCCUCCAAAUUUUCUUUAAAAACCCUAGCUUCGGAACUCUUGGAGAGGCAGGUUUGAGAAACAUCUCCUGUCCUUCCAUUUGGC